CACAUGCAAGUCGAGGGGCAGCGGGAUUGAAGCUUGCUUCAAUUGCCGGCGACCGGCGCACGGGUGAGUAACGCGUAUCCAACCUUCCGUACACUCAGGGAUAGCCUUUCGAAAGAAAGAUUAAUACCUGAUGGUAUGAUGAGAUUGCAUGAUAGCAUCAUUAAAGAUUUAUCGGUGUACGAUGGGGAUGCGUUCCAUUAGGUAGUAGGCGGGGUAACGGCCCACCUAGCCAACGAUGGAUAGGGGUUCUGAGAGGAAGGUCCCCCACAUUGGAACUGAGACACGGUCCAAACUCCUACGGGAGGCAGCAGUGAGGAAUAUUGGUCAAUGGACGAGAGUCUGAACCAGCCAAGUAGCGUGAAGGAUGAAGGUCUUACGGAUUGUAAACUUCUUUUAUAAGGGAAUAAAACCUCCCACGUGUGGGAGCUUGUAUGUACCUUAUGAAUAAGCAUCGGCUAACUCCGUGCCAGCAGCCGCGGUAAUACGGAGGAUGCGAGCGUUAUCCGGAUUUAUUGGGUUUAAAGGGAGCGCAGACGGGUCGUUAAGUCAGCUGUGAAAGUUUGGGGCUCAACCUUAAAAUUGCAGUUGAUACUGGCGUCCUUGAGUGCGGUUGAGGUGUGCGGAAUUCGUGGUGUAGCGGUGAAAUGCUUAGAUAUCACGAAGAACUCCGAUUGCGAAGGCAGCACACUAAGCCGUAACUGACGUUCAUGCUCGAAAGUGUGGGUAUCAAACAGGAUUAGAUACCCUGGUAGUCCACACGGUAAACGAUGGAUACUCGCUGUUGGCGAUAUACGGUCAGCGGCUUAGCGAAAGCGUUAAGUAUCCCACCUGGGGAGUACGCCGGCACAGUGAAACUCAGAGGAAUUGACGGGGGCCCGCACAAGCGGAGGAACAUGUGGUUUAAUU
rnacentral:rRNA from 1 species